GGCCUUGCGCUCUUUGAGCGGCCGAUGUCAGAUUAGCUAGUUGGUGAGGUAAAGGCUUACCAAGGCGACGAUCUGUAUCGGGUCUGAGAGGAUGAUCCGCCACACUGGAACUGAGACACGGUCCAGACUCCUACGGGAGGCAGCAGUGGGGAAUUUUGGACAAUGGGGGCAACCCUGAUCCAGCCAUGCCGCGUGAGUGAAGAAGGCCUUCGGGUUGUAAAGCUCUUUCGGCCGGGAAGAAAUCGCAUGGGCCAAUACCCUGUGUGGAUGACGGUACCGGAAUAAGAAGCACCGGCUAACUACGUGCCAGCAGCCGCGGUAAUACGUAGGGUGCGAGCGUUAAUCGGAAUUACUGGGCGUAAAGCGUGCGCAGGCGGUUUUGUAAGACAGGCGUGAAAUCCCCGGGCUUAACCUGGGAACUGCGUUUGUGACUGCAAGGCUAGAGUACGGCAGAGGGGGGUGGAAUUCCACGUGUAGCAGUGAAAUGCGUAGAGAUGUGGAGGAACACCAAUGGCGAAGGCAGCCCCCUGGGUCGAUACUGACGCUCAUGCACGAAAGCGUGGGUAGCAAACAGGAUUAGAUACCCUGGUAGUCCACGCCCUAAACUAUGUCAACUAGGUGUUGGGUGGGUAAAACCAUUUAGUACCGUAGCUAACGCGUGAAGUUGACCGCCUGGGGAGUACGGCCGCAAGGUUAAAACUCAAAGGAAUUGACGGGGACCCGCACAAGCGGUGGAUGAUGUGGAUUAAUUCGAUGCAACGCGAAAAACCUUACCUACCCUUGACAUGCCAGGAACUUGCCAGAGAUGGCUUGGUGCCCGAAAGGGAGCCUGGACACAGGUGCUGCAUGGCUGUCGUCAGCUCGUGUCGUGAGAUGUUGGGUUAAGUCCCGCAACGAGCGCAACCCUUGUCGUUAAUUGCCAUCAUUUAGUUGGGCACUUUAACGAGACUGCCGGUGACAAACCGGAGGAAGGUGGGGAUGACGUCAAGUCCUCAUGGCCCUUAUGGGUAGGGCUUCACACGUCAUACAAUGGUCGGUACAAAGGGUUGCCAAGCCGCGAGGCGGAGCCAAUCCCAGAAAGCCGAUCGUAGUCCGGAUUGCAGGCUGCAACUCGCCUGCAUGAAGUCGGAAUCGCUAGUAAUCGUGGAUCAGCAUGUCACGGUGAAUACGUUCCCGGGUCUUGUACACACCGCCCGUCACACCAUGGGAGCGGGUUCCGCCAGAAGUAGGUAGCCUAACCGCAAGGGGGGCGCUUACCACGGCGGGGUUCGUGACUGGGGUGAAGUCGAAACAAGGUA
rnacentral:rRNA from 1 species